rnacentral:rRNA from 1 species
GGAAAGACCCCGUGAACCUUUACUGUACUCUGAUAUUGGCUUUUGACUUGUCAUGUGUAGGAUAGCCGGGAGACGUAGAAAGAGACUCGUCAGGGUUUCUGGAGUCAUCCUUGAAAUACCGGCCUUGACAUGUCGGAAAUCUAACGUUGCCCCAUGAAUCUGGGGAACGGACAUUGUCAGACGGGCAGUUUGACUGGGGCGGUUUCCUCCUAAAAAGUAACGGAGGAGUCCAAAGCUUGUCUCAUCGUGGUUGGCAAUCACGAGUAGAGCGUAAAAGUAGAAGACAAGUUGACUGCGAGACCAACAAGUCGAGCAGGUACGAAAGUAGGGUUUAGUGAUCCGGCGGUGGAAAGUGGAAUCGCCGUCGCUUAACGGAUAAAAGGUACUCCGGGGA